AAAUGCAGUGAGAAAUCAGUUACAAAAUCAAAUCAAAACCAAAAUGAAGCAGUUCGCAUUAUUCGCUGUUUUCUUUCUGAUGCUGGCCGUUGCUUUGGCUGCGAUGCCGCAAAUGCCGCAGAUGCCACAAAUGCCGUCUAAGCAUUUUGGCCAGAUUAUGAACUCUGGCUUUCUUAAACAAAAUGCCGGACAGCAUGGUCAACAGGGCCCGGGACAGGAACACGGACACGGACAGGGACACGGACAUGGUCCACCACCGCAAGAUGGCCAGAAUGGCGGGGACCAAGAUAAGAACUGAGUAUUAAUUGAUUGUUAAACGGCUGUAAAUGGAUUACUGAAAUGACGUCUCGUUUGAAUAGUUGUAGUUGCUUGGGUGCUCAAGAGUUUAAAUAAAAGUUAUUGCAUGUGUAUAAAUGUUAUUAAGGUUUUUUAGCUCUCUUUCAAUCUAAGCUAUGAAGUUAAAAUAUGUUUUUAGGAAAGUUGAAUUAGAGUUAACAUAUGUUAUCAUGGGAACUUCAAUGCGUAACCUAACCUUUGACAACUCUUCCAAUCAUAUUAUGGCCUAACAGUGCUCUGUUAUGUUAAGCCAACAUUUAUUACUGCUUUAUUCUGUUAAACUUCUCAUAUUAUGGCCUAACAGUUCUAUGUUAUGUUAAGCCAUUCAUUACUGCCUACUUCUGUUAAAUUGCUUUGCAUUGAUGUUAAAGUUAUGUUUGAAGGAAUAGAGAGCUUGAGCUCUUCUCUAUAUAUUAGCAUAUAUUUUCAUAACAUAUAAGAGUAUAUACAUAUAUGAAUUACUUUACAGUUACUUAACAGUCAGUGAAUAUCUUUGUUAACAUUGUUACAUAACAUUGUCAUGUUUUUGUUAAGUUUUCUACCUGUCUCUGUAACUUUACAGCACUGAACUUAACAUUCAAUUGAACUUUAAUAAAUAUUACAAUUUCCCGUAAAGUUUUUAGCCAAGAUUCUGUUAACAGUUCGGUAAACUUUUUAAACAGAAAGUUAAGAAAACUGAUAUAAAAUUUGAGUGGCAACAGAAGUAAAAUAAUCAAUGCAGCAAAAUGUUUCAAUAAGCAACAAUUUAAAAGGUGGUCCAAACUUUAAAUGUUUACAAAAGUGUGGGCGGGAGAGAGAGGGAGGAAGCGAGGGCGAACGUGGGAAAGAAAAUAAAAAACUUUUAACCUGAGAACAAGUUUUUUAUGUGCUCGAACCGCAGCUUAAAAGUAACCAAAAAACUUUGAGUUAAAUACCAAUCUGCAUAUGCAGCAUGUACAUACUCAUAUAGCUAAUAUACUCUACUCGCAUACACACACAUUGUAUAUACAUAUACAUAUACAUAUAUAAAUCUGUAUUUAUAUCUUGUUCUUCGUGUGGCAGACAAGCGAACUCGGACUUUUUCCAGUUGGCAAACUUUAUUAAUAAAAUGCACAAAGUGAACGAAUUAUGAGCAUCAAAUACAUAAAUAUAGUCAAACUCUCUCCCUCUUACAAUGCCGUAGGCUCAUUCUUUUGCCAAACUAGACUUUAUAGCUGUUUCAGUUGGGGGGCGUGUGGCGUGUGGGCACAAAUUCUAGCUGCAGUUCUGUGACUUAUUUCAUUUAACAAAUUGCCGAGUGCUUAUUACCAAAAACAGGAUAAAAAAAAAAAAGUACAAAGUAUUUUUCCUUUUGCCUGUGAGCGCUUUAUAAUUGCAUUUACCGUGUCUCAAGUCUGGCUGACACGCCUCCCGCCCUCGGUGUGUGUGUGCAUUACUCUAAUUUCCGAGCUUAUGCAGCUAGGGCAGGCGCUCAUGUGUGAAUGCACCUGAGAACAGCUAUAUCCAAAAAGUUUCAACUAACACACACACACACACCUAUACGUGUCUCUCUUCGAUAACCGAAUGCUUGAUGAAAAACUUACGGCAGCAAAGGUAAAAAAAAAAAAAAAGAAAGAAUAUCGAAGAAAUUUUCUGAAUAAUGAUUCCUUCAGCCAUAUCCAAUAACCAUAUCGAGGCAGCUCGACGUAUCAUCAACAUACACAUGUAUGCAUAAUUUCCGUUAUGCGUGGUUGCGGGCGGCGUGCAGGGCGGCGGGCGUGGCCAGUCACAUUAGCAGCGAGCGUAUAAACAAAUGCAAGCUGGCAGCGCAUUGAGUGAAAGCUCUGCUCAGAUAUUUUCACUCCAAGCGUGCAACACGUGACGCCACGCAUUGAGCGUAUAGCUGUGGCUUGUGUCGAGGCAACACCCAAGGAUGCUGCGCCAGAGUCCAACAUGUUGCUUGCCACAGCGAGGCGAACGAGUGAAAAGCCGAACACGAGCGAAAAAGCCAAACAAAAAAGGACGAAAAAAAAAAAAAAAAAUGAAAAAGGAAAUGAAGCCGAAACCCGAGCUAAACGAGCUUAUACGAGGUGGCGCCUCUGCACGAGCACGACGAACUGAUAAAGCCAACGGUUGCUGCCACGGCCUCUGCUGCUGCUCGCUGCUUCUGCUGCUGCUGCUGCUGCUGCUGCUGCCACAGCGUUUGGCUAAGCGUGGCAGCAGGCUCGCGCUUCGGUCAGUUGAACAUUUUCCAUGCUGUGAUCAAGUUGUCUUUUCCUCUGAGCGCCGAGCGCUGUGAACGCCUUGGACGAGGAGCAAAAUAAUAAAUACGCAUUCGAAGGAAACUCAAGCCAAAAAUCUCACGUUGCCCCAAAAGCAAAUAAACAAACCAAAAAUUUAAUGGCCGAGCAUCAAGUGCACUCAACGGCAAACAAUUUGUGAAACGACGGACUGACUUACAUGCAUUUUAUUAGUACAUAAUAUCAAAACCAAAAA